rnacentral:rRNA from 1 species
AACGAACGCUGGCGGCAUGCCUAACACAUGCAAGUCGAACGAGACCUUCGGGUCUAGUGGCGCACGGGUGCGUAACGCGUGGGAACCUGCCCUUAGGUUCGGAAUAACUCCCCGAAAGGGGUGCUAAUACCGGAUAAUGUCUUCGGACCAAAGAUUUAUCGCCUUUGGAUGGGCCCGCGUUGGAUUAGCUAGUUGGUAGGGUAAAAGCCUACCAAGGCGACGAUCCAUAGCUGGUAUGAGAGGAUGAUCAGCCACACUGGGACUGAGACACGGCCCAGACUCCUACGGGAGGCAGCAGUGGGGAAUAUUGGACAAUGGGCGAAAGCCUGAUCCAGCAAUGACGCGUGAGUGAUGAAGGCCUUAGGGUUGUAAAGCUCUUUUACCCGGGAUGAUAAUGACAGUACCGGGAGAAUAAGCUCCGGCUAACUCCGUG